GCAUAUCAAUAAGCGGAGGAAAAGAAACUAACAAGGAUUCCCCUAGUAACGGCGAGUGAAGCGGGAUGAGCUCAAAUUUGUAAUCUGGUGGACUCAGUUCAUCCGAAUUGUAAUCUAUAGAAAAGUUUUCCGCGCUGGACCGUGUCUAAGUCCCUUGGAACAGGGUGUCAGAGAGGGUGAGAAUCCCGUGCUUGAUACGACCACCAGUGCUAUGUGAUACUUUUUCAACGAGUCGAGUUGUUUGGGAAUGCAGCUCAAAAUGGGUGGUAAAUUCCAUCUAAAGCUAAAUAUUGGCGAGAGACCGAUAGCGAACAAGUACCGUGAGGGAAAGAUGAAAAGCACUUUGGAAAGAGAGUUAAACAGUACGUGAAAUUGUUAAAAGGGAAACGAUUGAAGUCAGUCGUGCUCUCUAGGACUCAGCCAGUUCUUYUGGUGUAUUUCCUAGUGAGCGGGUCAACAUCAGUUUAGAUCGCUGGAUAAGGUCAUUAGGAAUGUGGCUCCCUCGGGAGUGUUAUAGCCUAGUGUCGCAUACAGUGGUUUAGACUGAGGAACGCAGCUCGCCUUUAUGGCCGGGGUUCGCCCACGUCCGAGCUUAGGAUGUUGACAUAAUGGCUUUAAACGACCCGUCUUGAAACACGGACC
rnacentral:rRNA from 1 species